GGGUACUCGAGUGGCGAACGGGUGAGUAACACGUGAGUAACCUGCCCUUGACUUCGGGAUAACUUCAGGAAACUGGGGCUAAUACCGGAUAGGAAUCCUUGCUGCAUGGUGGGGGUUGGAAAGCUUUCGGCGGUUUUGGAUGGACUCGCGGCUUAUCAGCUUGUUGGUGGGGUAGUGGCUUACCAAGGCUUUGACGGGUAGCCGGCCUGAGAGGGCGACCGGCCACAUUGGGACUGAGAUACGGCCCAG
rnacentral:rRNA from 1 species